GAGGGUAUAGCUCAGUGGUAGAGAGAGGUCUCAGCAUACAUGAGGUCCUGGGUUCAAUCCCCAGUACCUCCA
rnacentral:tRNA from 1 species